rnacentral:tRNA from 20 species
GCCACCGUAGUUCAAUGGAUAGAACUCUCCCCUCCUAAGGGAGUGAUACAGGUUCGAUUCCUGUCGGGGGCACCA